rnacentral:rRNA from 1 species
UACGUAGGCAGCAAGCGUUGUUCGGAGUUACUGGGCGUAAAGGGUGCGUAGCGGCUUUUUAAGUCUGGUGUGAAAUCUCCCGGCUCAACUGGGAGGGUGCGCCGGAUACUGAGGGGCUAGAGUGUGGGAGAGGAAAGUGGAAUUCCUGGUGUAGCGGUGAAAUGCGUAGAUAUCAGGAGGAACACCGGUGGUGUAAACGGCUUUCUGGACAGUGACUGACGCUGAGACGCGAAAGCGUGGGGAGCAAACAGG